rnacentral:snRNA from 1 species
AGUGUGUACCUGCUUCAGCAGCACAUAUACUAUUUUUUAAAAGUGAAACAAUACAGAGAAGAUUAGCAUGGCCCCUGUGCAAGGAAGAUAUGUAAAUUCAUGAAGCAUUCCAUAUAUUA